GUUUUAUCCUAGCUCGGUUGGAAGGCUUGGAGCCGGUCUUAUACAUGCAAGCUUGCUCAAAAAUUUUUUUUUGAUGGCGCAAAGGUGAGUUCAAAAUAAGAACUUUAAUUUUUGUUUGGAUAAUUCCAAUAAAAAACUUUUUAAGUUAAAAGCAUUUUGCGCAAAAAGGAAGGCUUAUUUGGUAUUAGGUAGUUGGUUAUGAUAAAAGCUGACCAUAGCCUGAGAUGCCUAGCAGACUUUAGCGAGUGAUCUGCCACAACGGGCUUGGAAGAGUGCCUGAACAUACAAUGGCAGCAGUAAAGAAUCUUGGACAAUGCAUUAACGUGUGAUCCAGCCAGUCUCUGUGGUGGAUGAAGGCCUUUUAGGUUGUAAACAUCUAAGGUUUUUUUAGAAUAUAAUGAAUGUAUAAAAAAAUACAAGGGGGUUAGGGCUAAACCUCGUUGCCAGCAGCCGCGGUAAUACGGGGGCCUCUAGUCUUUGACCUCAUGACUGGGUGUAAUAGGCACAAAGGAGGUUGUCUUUGUUCUUGAUAAAAUACUACGACUUGAUCGU
rnacentral:rRNA from 1 species